rnacentral:tRNA from 1 species
ACGGGUUUAGCUCAGUUGGUAGAGCACUGGUCUCCAAAACCAGGUGUCGGGGGUUCAAGUCCCUCAAUCCGUG